rnacentral:ribozyme from 1 species
UGCCCAGCAACUCCUAUCCCUACCUCCACGUGCUACCGGCCGGAAACUAUGAGUAACCUUAGGGAAAAUCGGGUAACCAACCCCGGUGAGAACUUUGGUCGUAGGCUGACAGGGAAAG